AAAGACCAAAGAUUCGUUCAACUUCACCACAUCUGUCGAAUCAGCAACCUGUUGAGUACUUCGCUCGUUCUAGCAAUCUAAUCUUCCAAGAUGAAACUUUUCGCCUACAUCGUUGCCGCAGCAAUGGCUCUCUUGCUUCUCAUGACACCUAAUGCCAUGGCUCAAGACAGCACUACAGGAGCAGGAGGUAGUACACCUUCUGGAACCACAGCUUCAUAAUGUAAGUAUAUGAAUCAAUUUGUUUAGUGUGCACAUUCUAAUUAAUAAAGGAAUUUUUCUUUAACACAACAUAAAAGGAUCAAAACUUUUCUAAUCUUCAAAAGCGAAAAAAAUAGUUUUGUUUUUUACGCCAGUGAUAUAGUAGAUCAUUUGUAAAAUUGAUAUUGAAAUACAUAAACAUAUAAAUAUUUUUUUUUUUUUUGCUUUCAAGCUGAAUUUUUUAAUUCCAUCUUCUAGUUUAACUUGUUUCACAUAAUCAAUCAGAUAUAUGAUAAUAUUUUACAUUUUAUUUCGCUUUGGAUUUCAUUAAAAAUGGAUAAAUAAGUUUUAUAAGCCUUGUAAUAAAAUUUCUGAAAAUUAAAAAAAAAAUUAACAAUACAAAGAAUUGGUUCCUGGAACUGCAAUGUAUAAAUGCACUGUCAUCACAAGAAAAAUGCAUGAAUGACUUAUUAUUUUUGUAAUUUUUAUUCAGUUCUUAAUAAAUGAUAAAAAUAUUCAUUAGGUCCCUUAUAUUAAAAAAUAGAAUUCAUGUGUCAGAAAAAAUGAUUCAUAAAAAUUCUAUGCUCUGUUAAAGUGUCUUAUAAAAGAAAUGAAUUUUCCCAAAAAUUACAAAAUAAAUAAAAUUGAUAAAUCACUAAAAUUGCUUAAAAUUUCUAAUUUUUUUUUAAAAAAAGCUCAAUUUUUUUACUUUUUAAUGUUUAGAAUUUAAAACGAAAUGCAAAUCAUCAUUUUCAGAGUAUUUUCAUCAUAUAUAAGAUGCAUUCUAUCGAAUGUAAUGCAAAAAUAGUUAGAAUCACUAUGCAUUUUUUUUUGUAUUUUUAAAAAUAUUCCAAUGAAUCUAAUCUAAGAAUAGUUAAAAACAUCGAAUCGCAUUUUUCGUGUUUUCCAUAUACUUUCUAAAAGAUUUUAAGGCAUUUAAUACGAAAACAGUAAAAAUAUCUGCUUCAGGGUGUUAUUGUAUGUUUCCAUUAUACGUUCUUAAACAUUCUAAGGAAAGUAAUUCAAAAAUAAUUAGAAUCGUCGUAUUAUAGGAUCUUGGUGUGUCUUUAUUAUACGUUCUUAAACAUUCUAAGGAAAGUAAUUCAAAAAUAAUUAGAAUCGUCGUAUUAUAGGAUCUUGGUGUGUCUUUAUUAUACGUUCUUAAACAUUCUAAGGAGAGUAAUUCAAAAAUAAUUAGAAUCGUCGUAUUAUAGGAUCUUGGUGUGUCUUUAUUAUACGUUCUUAAACAUUCUAAGGAAAGUAAUUCAAAAAUAAUUAGAAUCGUCGUAUUAUAGGAUCUUGGUGUGUCUUUAUUAUACGUUCUUAAACAUUCUAAGGAAAGUAAUUCAAAAAUAAUUAGAAUCGUCGUAUUAUAGGAUCUUGGUGUGUCUUUAUUAUACGUUCUUAAACAUUCUAAGGAGAGUAAUUCAAAAAUAAUUAGAAUCGUCGUAUUAUAGGAUCUUGGUGUGUCUUUAUUAUACGUUCUUAAACAUUCUAAGGAAAGUAAUUCAAAAAUAAUUAGAAUCGUCGUAUUAUAGGAUCUUGGUGUGUCUUUAUUAUACUUUCUUAAACAUUUUAAUGAAAAUUAUUAAGAAAAUAAAUUCAUUGUAGUUUUAUAUUUCUAUUAUACUUUCUAAUGAUUGUACAUUAUACUCUCUUUAACAUUCUAAUGGAUGUUCAUUAUGCUUUUUUAAACAUUCUAAUGAAUGUUCAUUAUUAUUUUUUAAAUCAUUCUAAUAAAUGUAAUUCAUAACCUAAUCGCUGCAACAAAGAAUAGUUGUGUGUUUUCCUUAUAUCCUAUUAAAUAGUUUAAUAAAUGUAUUUAAAGAAUAUUUGUAAUCAUUUUAUAUCAAAAUUGUCGAAUUUUCAUUGUACUUUUAAAAAUAUUCUAAUGAAAGUAAUUCAAAAACUAUUUGAGUCGCUGUAGCUUUUCAUUAUAUUUUUGAAUCAUUUUCUAAAUGUCAUUAGAAUUGUUGCGUGUUUUCAUUGCACUUACUUAAGCAUUCUAAUGAAGACAAUUGAAAAAUGAAUAGAAUCCUUUUUAUUAACAAACUUUGUAUUAGGAUUUCAUCCUGAACUGAUAAAUUGAUUAUACAGGCCAGUCUAAAACCAUAAAAUAUAUUUUAUUUAUUUAAAUCAUGCAAUUGAUGUUGUAAUGAAAUCUUUUUCAGCUGCACGAGAUGCUUCGGAAUGAACCAUUUUUCAGCCGAAGGAACGAUUUUGGACCUGGAAUUUCGGUGGCGUUGAUUCUUUUCUUCAAAGAUUCUUUCUGCUGUUUUUGAAGAAGAAUUUUUCUACUUCAUGAAACUUCACAUUUCUUCUCAAUAAAAUCUCUUCUUUUAAA